rnacentral:rRNA from 1 species
UACGAAGGGGGCGAGCGUUGUUCGGAAUUACUGGGCGUAAAGGGCGCGUAGGCGGCCGAUCAAGUCAGAUGUGAAAGUCCUGGGCUUAACCUGGGGACUGCAUUUGAUACUGAUUGGCUUGAAUGCAGGAGAGGAUAGCGGAAUUCCCAGUGUAGAGGUGAAAUUCGUAGAGAUAUGGAGGAACACCAGUGGCGAAGGCGGCUUCCUGGUCUGUAACUGACACUGAGGCGCGAAAGCGUGGGGAGCAAACAGG